CCUACGGUGGCUGCAGUGGGGAAUAUUGGACAAUGGGCGAAAGCCUGAUCCAGCCAUGCCGCGUGUGUGAAGAAGGCCUUCGGGUUGUAAAGCACUUUCAGUGGGGAAGAAAGCCUUGGGGCUAAUACCCUCGAGGAAGGACAUCACCCACAGAAGAAGCACCGGCUAACUCCGUGCCAGCAGCCGCGGUAAUACGGAGGGUGCGAGCGUUAAUCGGAAUUACUGGGCGUAAAGCGCGCGUAGGCGGUCUGAUAAGCCGGUUGUGAAAGCCCCGGGCUCAACCUGGGAACGGCAUCCGGAACUGUCAGGCUAGAGUGCAGGAGAGGAAGGUAGAAUUCCCGGUGUAGCGGUGAAAUGCGUAGAGAUCGGGAGGAAUACCAGUGGCGAAGGCGGCCUUCUGGGCUGACACUGACGCUGAGGUGCGAAAGCGUGGGUAGCAAACAGGAUUAGAUACCCCUGUAGUC
rnacentral:rRNA from 1 species